rnacentral:lncRNA from 1 species
CAUGAAAAUUAUGAUGUCACCAGAAGUAGUACUGUACAUGAGCACCGUCACUGCCACACAGUGCUCCUCUCACUGACCACCAAUGAAAGAGGUGCCCCUUCCAGAAGUGUGGUGGGGGCUGGAUACAUGGCCUCAGGGGGCCACAUGUGGCCCACGGGCUGUAGUUUAGGUACCCCUGCUGUAGAGCAUACUCAUACAUUAGCUGGUUGUGAUCUCUUUACCCUGUGGUGAAGAGGACACUUUGAUUGUUCAUGGAUCUAGGACUGGGUGCAUUCAGAAGGGGAUGGAUACUCACAAUGUCCUUUUGGAGAUUUGAAGAUACAAGAGAUUCCACCAGUUCUUAUACCAUAGAAUUAAGCCAUUCCAGAAUAUCCUAGAUAAUAUGUUUGGUGCCACCCAGCCACCAUAGGGUAGCUCUUAAAUGUGAUUAGAAGCUUUGUGAUUUCCCCCAAUAAAGACUGUGAGAACUGGAGCUUUCUUCUCUCC